UCCAGGUUGGAUGCGUUGUGGUGUUGUAAAUCUUUCAAAUUAGUUGUUAAUAUAUUUUAAAGUAUUUCACUUCCUGAAACACAGAGACUCACAUGUAUUUCUGGCUGCCCUGGAAAGUUGGGCAACUUGGCACCACGAAGUCCAGAGUGCCUGGGUUUCAUGGUCUCAGGGCAGCAGCUGCCACUGUCGUGCCCUCUGUACAGACCAAGCCCUCUCCGAUGUCUUCCUUUAUUUAUUUUAAAUGCAUGGCUCCUGUCCACACAAUGGCCACUUCCUUCCAUUUAUAGAUAUGGGACUUGAACCAGCCAUGACUUCAUGAUGCUGACAGAUCACAAGAGUACAGUGAAAAUGCUGGGUUGAGGACUGGUCCUCCUGUCUUGGUUCCUUCAUGCUUCCUCUCCUCAGGCCUAGGACUAAAAAAUCCUUUGGGGAAAGUCACGUGUUAUAUUGAAUGUGGCUGAUACAAAGAUACUUUUCAAGUAAGCUAAUACUUAUGGCAUUAACACGUGAGUCAGCAAUUAAAUAUACUUUUGUAGGGUGUUGCAAGGCAGCAGUUCACUAAGAGAAAGCAGUGCUAUAUUCUUAAGCAGUAUUUUAGUUAAAACAUCACACACACACACACACACACACACACACACAUCAGAACAACCCAGAAAUGCUAGCAAAUUCAGAUGUUCCAUUUUAUCUUUAGAUAUAUUUCCAUACUUAUGCCCAAAACCUCAC
ensembl:lncRNA